GGGUGGUAAUGCCGGAUGCUCCAUCACAUCGCAUGGUGUGUUGGGAAAGCCUUUGCGGCAUGGGAUGGGGUCGCGUCCUAUCAGCUUGAUGGCGGGGUAACGGCCCACCAUGGCUUCGACGGGUAGCCGGCCUGAGAGGGCGACCGGCCACAUUGGGACUGAGAUACGGCCCAGACUCCUACGGGAGGCAGCAGUGGGGAAUAUUGCACAAUGGGCGCAAGCCUGAUGCAGCGACGCCGCGUGAGGGAUGGAGGCCUUCGGGUUGUAAACCUCUUUUGUUAGGGAGCAAGGCAUUUUGUGUUGAGUGUACCUUUCGAAUAAGCACCGGCUAACUACGUGCCAGCAGCCGCGGUAAUACGUAGGGUGCAAGCGUUAUCCGGAAUUAUUGGGCGUAAAGGGCUCGUAGGCGGUUCGUCGCGUCCGGUGUGAAAGUCCAUCGCUUAACGGUGGAUCCGCGCCGGGUACGGGCGGGCUUGAGUGCGGUAGGGGAGACUGGAAUUCCCGGUGUAACGGUGGAAUGUGUA
rnacentral:rRNA from 1 species